UACGAAGGGGGCUAGCGUUGUUCGGAACCACUGGGCGUAAAGGGCGCGUAGGCGGCUUUGUCAGUCGGGGGUGAAAGCCUGUGGCUCAACCACAGAAUUGCCUUCGAUACUGCAAGGCUUGAGACCGGAAGAGGUCAGUGGAACUGCGAGUGUAGAGGUGAAAUUCGUAGAUAUUCGCAAGAACACCAGUGGCGAAGGCGGCUGACUGGUCCGGAUCUGACGCUGAGGCGCGAAAGCGUGGGGAGCAAACAGG
rnacentral:rRNA from 1 species